rnacentral:rRNA from 1 species
AGCAGCCGCGGUAAUUCCAGCUCCAAUAGCGUAUAUUAAAGUUGUUGCAGUUAAAAAGCUCGUAGUCGAAUUUCGGGGUUAGUAGGUUGGUCAUGCCACUGGUAUGUACUGGUCUCACUGAUUCCUCCUUCCUGAUGAACCGUAAUGCCAUUAAUUUGGUGUUGCGGGGAAACUGGACUGUUACUUUGAAAAAAUUAGAGUGUUUAAAGCAGGCUAACGCUUGAAUACAUUAGCAUGGAAUAAUGAAAUAGGACGUUCGAUCCUAUUUUGUUGGUUUCUAGGAUUGACGUAAUGAUUAAUAGGGAUAGUUGGGGGCAUUAGUAUUCAAUUGUCAGAGGUGAAAUUCUUGGAUUUAUUGAAGACUAACUACUGCGAAAGCAUUUGCCAAGGAUGUUUUCAUUAAUCAAGAACGAAAGUUAGGGGAUCGAAGACGAUCAGAUACCGUCGUAGUCUUAACCAUAAACUAUGCCGACUAGGGAUCGGAUGAUGUUAAUUUUUUAAUGACUCAUUCGGCGCCUUACG